AACGCACCUUGCGCUCCUUGGUAUUCCUUGGAGCAUGCCUGUUUGAGUAUCAUGAAAUCUUCAAAGUCAAUUCUUUUGUUUGUUCAAUUGGGUUGACUUUGGUAUUGGAGGUCUUGCAGGUUCACACUUGCUCCUCUUUGUGCAUUAGCUGGAUCUCAGUGUUAUGCUUGGUUCCACUCGGCGUGAUAAAUUAUCUAUCGCUGAGGACACUUGUAAAAAGGUGGCCAAGGUAAAUGCAGAUGAACCGCUUCUAAUAGUCCAUUCACUUGGACAAUAUUUUUAUGAUCUGAUCUCAAAUCAGGUAGGACUACCCGCUGAACUUAA
rnacentral:misc_RNA from 1 species